ensembl:lncRNA
AGGGGAUCGGUGUACUGUACUAUUCCUUUAAAGAACCAGGUUAAGGGGAUCGGUGUACUGUACUAUUCCUUUAAAGAACCAGGUUAAGGGGAUCGGUCUACUGUACUAUUCCUUUAAAGAACCAGGUUAAGGGGAUCGGUGUACUGUACUGUUCCUUUAAAGAACCAGGUUAAGGGGAUCGGUCUACUGUACUAUUCCUUUAAAGAACCAGGUUAAGGGGAUCGAUGUACUGUACUGUUCCUUUGAAGAACCAGGUUAAGGGGAUCGGUGUACUGUACUGUUCCUUUGAAGAACCAGGUUAAGGGGAUCGGUCUACUGUACUAUUCCUUUAAAGAACCAGGUUAAGGGGAUCGGUCUACUGUACUAUUCCUUUAAAGAACCAGGUUAAGGGGAUCGGUCUACUGUACUGUUCCUUUGAAGAACCAGGUUAAGGGGAUCGGUGUACUGUACUAUUCCUUUAAAGAACGAGGUUAAGGUGAUCGGUGUACUGUACUAUUCCUUUAAAGAACCAGGUUAAGGGGAUCGGUCUACUGUACUAUUCCUGUAAAGAACCAGGUUAAGGGGAUCGGUGUAAUGUACUAUUCCUUUAAAGAACCAGGUUAAGGGGAUCGGUCUACUGUACUAUUCCUGUAAAGAACCAGGUUAAGGGGAUCGGUGUAAUGUACUAUUCCUUUAAAGAACCAGGUUAAGGGGAUCGGUCUACUGUACUAUUCCUUUAAAGAACCAGGUUAAGGGGAUCGGUCUAC